ensembl:lncRNA
CAGAGUCCUUGAGUGAACAGCCAAGGUAAACAAAGAAAACAAAACAAAAUAAUCCUUCCAGGAGAGCCCCAAGUGAACUCAUCUUGUUCUUCUCCAGUCAAAAUGAACGUUCAGUGAGAUCUGAAAAAUGUGCAGAGUGGGUUUCCAGCACCCAAAGCCUGGGAUGGGCCUGGAGAUGCGGCAUGAAUGCGCCCAGCAGCAGCACACGCAGGCUGUAACAACACAUGAUUGCCUUGAAUUAGGCCAAUUUCCAUGGCUCAGCGUUGAUGCACACACUCCUCAUGAUAAGGUGCUCAGAGGCUGCCAGAAACUGAGAGCAAGGUGCAGUUUCUGCAGUAAAGUGCAGCACAGCAAUCAGCCCCCAGAGGCAUUGCUCCUUGAGGGAAUGCAUGACGCCAGCACACCAAAUCAACAUUUCCAUCUCUUCUUAGUGUAGAUGUGAAAUUGGAACAAUCAGAACCCUUUCCUUCUGCAGAAGCACAGGCAUCCAGAUGACAUUUAUGGUGCUUGGCAGGACCUGCAGCUUGCUUGCAAACAGUACAUUCAUUUGGUUGUCAUUGAUUCGGGUGGAUCCUUCAGGAUAGCGAUUGUGGCAAGGGGCUGAGGAGAUUUGUCCUUGCUUGCAUCAGCUGCAGCAGUGACAUGAGGUAAGGAUGUGAGAUAACGAGAUAAGCCACCUCUGACUACAUCCUCACAAGCCAAUCCACGCAGAGAGCCACAAUUUAAAUUAUAUAUUUAAAAAAAUGUCUAUAAUCAUCAGAAAAUCAGAUAACAUCGUUACCACUGGAGCAGAACAGUCAAGCACAGAAGGAAAAGAGAUUCAAAAUGCGUUUGACUGCCUGACAGGGAGGAGCAACCAUCGCACUGUGCAUCCCACCCUUUCCCCCAGGCAAAUACGUGUUUUCUUCAGUUAUCAGUUGUGCAAGGAGCUGGAGAGAAGCCAAUGGAAACCAGUGACACUGAGACAUAAGCUCUGGGCUCCUGGCUGCAGGGGGGUGUGGCGAGCCCUAAAAACCCCCACCAGCUCCCAGUGGCUCUUGUAGAAAAGCUUCGGGGCUGCCCUGAACGAAGUACAAACCAUGCAAAAAAAGCAGUUUGCAUCAGGCUUGGAACCGAAUGCCGUUUGGUUGUCACCCUCCAAAAAUGUGCAAAGCUGUGCCAAGCUCCGCUGCCGGGGGACAGGACAUUAUCAUUCAUCCUUUCACUCUCCUGCAGCACGCGGCCAUUUCUACAAAUUGCCUUUGUGCAAAAACACAUGGAACAUAAAGGCGACAAUGGAGUUCAUGGAGAUGCGAGCCGCUCCUCCAGGGUUUCGGAUUUCCUGGCAGAGCUCACAUAUCCUUUGUUGCUGAAAACAGGGAUCAGCAGAGAGCACCACACCUUCAAGCGUGCACGGU